rnacentral:rRNA from 1 species
AAAAUGCAAGUCGACUGGAAUUCUUCUUCGGAAGAUAGUACGGUGGCGGACGGGUGAGUAACGCGUAAAGAAUUUGCCCUUCAGACUGGGACAACUAAUCGAAAGGUUAGCUAAUACCGGAUAUUAUGAGACCUUGGCAUCAAGGACUUAUGAAAGCUAUAUGCGCUGGAGGAGAACUUUGCGUUCCAUUAGCUAGUUGGUAGGGUAAUGGCCUACCAAGGCGACGAUGGAUAGCCGGCCUGAGAGGGUGAACGGCCACAAGGGGACUGAGACACGGCCCUUACUCCUACGGGAGGCAGCAGUGGGGAAUAUUGGACAAUGGACCAAAAGUCUGAUCCAGCAAUUCUGUGUGCACGAUGAAGGUCUUCGGAUU